rnacentral:rRNA from 1 species
AGAGUUUGAUCCUGGCUCAGAACGAACGUUGGCGGCGUGGAUUAGGCAUGCAAGUCGAACGAGAACCGGCUUUGUAGCAAUACCGAGCCGGGGAAAGUGGCGAAAGGGGCAGUAAUGCGUGGGUAACCAACCCUGGGGACCGGGAUAGCCAUUCUAACGAGUGGGUAAUACCGGGCGACGUAGCGAGUUCACAUGGAUUU